CCUUCCCUUACUUGCUCUCUGUCUCUCUCUCAAAAAUAAAUAAACAUUAAAACAUUUUUUAAAAGAGAAUAACACACAACUGUUAUAUGUUCUGAUAAUUUGGAAAUAAUGCAAUUAGAAAUGGGAGGCCUGAGGGAGAGGGAGAGAUGGAAGCAGAAUCUGCAUAUUGUUGUGCAGGCAAUGAUAAGAAUGCAGGUGUACCACUGAAAAGAAAAACUGGAUUGUUAAAGGUUAAAUAAGAAAACUGGGGAUAAGGGCAUUAAGAAACAUAGGUACAAAGGUAACUACUAGAAAAAAUACAAACCUUCCUAAAU